rnacentral:rRNA from 1 species
CAGGUUUACCUGUGUGACUGCGUACCUUUUGUAUAAUGGGUCAGCGACUUAUAUUCUGUAGCAAGGUUAACCGAAUAGGGGAGCCGGAGGGAAACCGAGUCUUAACCGGGCGUUAAGUUGCAGGGUAUAGACCCGAAACCCGGUGAUCUAGCCAUGGGCAGGUUGAAGGUUGGGUAACACUAACUGGAGGACCGAACCGACUAAUGUUGAAAAAUUAGCGGAUGACCUGUGGCUGGGGGUGAAAGGCCAAUCAAACCGGGAGAUAGCUGGUUCUCCCCGAAAGCUAUUUAGGUAGCGCCUCGUGAAUUCAUCUCCGGGGGUAGAGCACUGUUUCGGCUAGGGGGCCAUCCCGGCUUACCAACCCGAUGCAAACUGCGAAUACCGGAGAAUGUUAUCACGGGAGACACACGGCGGGUGCUAACGUCCGUCGUGAAGAGGGAAACAACCCAGACCGCCAGCUAAGGUCCCAAAGUCAUGGUUAAGUGGGAAACGAUGUGGGAAGGCCCAGACAGCCAGGAUGUUGGCUUAGAAGCAGCCAUCAUUUAAAGAAAGCGUAAUAGCUCACUGGUCGAGUCGGCCUGCGCGGAAGAUGUAACGGGGCUAAACCAUGCACCGAAGCUGCGGCAGCGAACGUAUCACCCAAGACAACUUUACGGAGUUGACGAUUGACGGAGCGAAGCGACGUCAAAGCGUAUACAAAGUCGAGUUGGCUUAGGGAUACGUUCGUUGGGUAGGGGAGCGUUCUGUAAGCCUGCGAAGGUGGCCUGUGAGGGUUGCUGGAGGUAUCAGAAGUGCGAAUGCUGACAUAAGUAACGAUAAAGCGGGUGAAAAGCCCGCUCGCCGGAAGACCAAGGGUUCCUGUCCAACGUUAAUCGGGGCAGGGUGAGUCGACCCCUAAGGCGAGGCCGAAAGGCGUAGUCGAUGGGAAACGGGUUAAUAUUCCCGUACUUGGUGUUACUGCGAAGGGGGGACGGAGAAGGCUAUGUUGGCCGGGCGACGGUUGUCCCGGUUUAAGCGUGUAGGUGUGUGUUCCAGGUAAAUCCGGUU